AGGUGCAGAAGAUAAAUGUAUAAUAGAAGGCAACAACUGUACAUUUAUUCGUGACUUGAGUAGAAUUAAACCUUCAGGAAACACGGAAACACUAGAAUUACUACUGAAGGAAUUUUUUGAAUAUUUUGGCAAUUUUGCUUUCAAUAAAAAUUCCAUAAAUAUUCGACAGGGAAAGGAACAAAACAAACCUGAUUCUUCUCCUCUGCACAUUCAGAAUCCUUUUGAAACUUCUCUCAACAUAAGUAAAAAUGUAAGUCAAAGCCAGUUGCAGAAGUUUGUAGAUUUGGCCAGAGAAAGUGCCUGGAUUUUACAACAGGAAGGUCAGGAUAGACCAUCGCCAUCAAGUAAUCAGCCCUGGGGGCUGGCAGCCCUCUUGCUACCAUCUAUAGCAAAUGGAAUGGCUCUUGCCAGAAAGAAAGGGAAAAAGCCUAUAAAUGAAACAGUUAAAAACUUGUUAGAAUCCAUAAAGAGUAACAGUGCAGAAAAUUCCACAAACACCCACAGGAAAAGAACGACCAGUCCUCAGACAUAAUGGCUCCUACUUUGCUUUGAGAAGUGACCGUAUCCUGUAAAAUGGUCUUUGGAGUACCUGGAAGAACUGGUAUGAAACUUCCACAGAUCUCGACUUUCAUCUGAUGUCCCUUUUCGUGACCUUCUCAUUGGCUCCCUUUAUCUGGUUGGAAGUUCUGGGAUGUUUUCAGUCUGAUCAGUCUGAUACCCAGUGGCACUUUAUUAAAACAUCAGCCAUAAGGAACGGGUGAGAGGAGAUUGGAAUGUACUUUAACUAAAUAAAUAAACUAUAUGAAGCAAAUGG